rnacentral:sRNA from 1 species
AGACGCGGAGCCAUGGCCGAGCUGCUGCGGACGCUGGCCGGAAAACCAAAAUGCUACGCACUUCUACCUAUGGUCCUUUUCCUAAUAAUGCUUGUCUUGGUCUUGUUUGGUUACGGGGUCCUAAGCCCCAGAAGUCUAAUGCCAGGAAGCCUGGAACGGGGGUUCUGCAUGGCUGUUAGGGAACCUGACCGUCUGCAGCAUGUCUCGUUGCCAAGGAUGGUCUACCCCCAGCCAAAGGUGCUGACACCCUGUAGGAAGGACAUCCUUGUGGUGACCCCUUGGCUGGCUCCCAUUGUCUGGGAGGGCACGUUCAACAUCGACAUCCUCAACGAGCAUUUCAGGCUCCAGAACACCACCAUUGGGUUAACUGUGUUUGCCAUCAAAAAGUACGUGGCCUUCCUGAAGCUGUUCCUGGAGACGGCGGAGAAGCACUUCAUGGUGGGCCACCGUGUCCACUACUAUGUCUUCACCGACCAGCCGGCCGCGGUGCCCCGCGUGACGCUGGGGACCGGUCGGCAGCUGUCGGUGCUGGGGGUGCGCGCCUACAAGCGCUGGCAGGACGUGUCCAUGCGCCGCAUGGAGAUGAUCAGUGACUUCUGCGAGCGGCGCUUCCUCAGCGAGGUGGAUUACCUAGUGUGCGUGGACGUGGACAUGGAGUUCCGUGACCACGUGGGCGUGGAGAUCCUGACUCCGCUGUUCGGCACCCUGCACCCCGGCUUCUACGGAAGCACCCGGGAGGCCUUCACCUACGAGCGCCGGCCCCAGUCCCAGGCCUAUAUCCCCAAGGACGAGGGCGAUUUCUACUACCUGGGGGGGUUCUUCGGAGGGUCGGUGCAAGAGGUGCAGCGGCUCACCAGGGCCUGCCACCAGGCCAUGAUGGUCGACCAGGCCAACGGCAUCGAGGCCGUGUGGCACGACGAGAGCCACCUGAACAAGUACCUGCUGCGCCACAAACCCACCAAGGUGCUCUCCCCCGAGUACUUGUGGGACCAGCAGCUGCUGGGCUGGCCCGCCGUCCUGAGGAAGCUGAGGUUCACGGCGGUGCCCAAGAACCACCAGGCGGUCCGAAACCCGUGAGCGGCUGCCAGGGGCUCUGGGAGGGCUGCCGGCAGCCCCCGUCCCCCUCCCGCCCUUGGUUUUAGCAGAACGGGUAAACUCUGCUUCCUUUGUCUGUCCUGUUGUGAGUAACUGAAGCCUAGGCCCCGCCCCCACCUCAAAUGACACACACCCCCUCCCCGCCACAGAGACACCAUUACAUACACAGACACACACAGAAAGACACACACAGACACACAAUCACACACACACCCUCCCUGCCACAGAGACACACCAUUACAUACACAGACACACACAGACACACAAUCACAGAUACCCCCUCCCGGCCACAGAGACACACCGUUGCACACACAUACACAGAAAGACACACACAGACACACAAUCACACACACCCCCUCCCUGCCACAGAGACACACCAUUACACACACACACACAGAAAGACACACCACACACAUACACGCACCAGACACACAGACACAGAUACACAGAUACAAAGACACAGACAUAUAGACACACAGACAUGCACAGAGACACAUGGAGACACAUGCAAAAAUGCACAGAGAAAGACAUACAGAAGUGUACACACAGACACAUAGACCACACAGACACACAGACAUGCAUGCAAACACACAACAUGCAGACAUGCACACACAGACAGACUUGCAAACAUGCACGCAAACACAGACGCACGCACAGAGACUUAGGCGGGCCGAAUUCAGUGCCUGGGGCAUAAGUUCCUGGAGGGGUGGCCACCUUCAGCCCCCACGGUGAGGUCCUGAGGAACCUUCCCCUUAGACAAGGGAUCACGGAGGAGGUCUCUUCCGGAGCCUGGAGGGAGGCCUCAAGUGGUCCUUCCACCUUGGCAUCCCAAAGUGCUAGGAUUAUAAGCAUGAGCCACUGCACCUGGCCCCAACAUCAUUUAUUGAAGAGACUGUCAUUUCCACAUUGUGUUUCUUGGCAUUUCUGUCAAAGAUCAGUUGACCAUAAAUGCAUGGAUUCACUUCUGGGCUCUCUAUUCUGUUUCAUUGGUCUGUUUGUUUUUAUGCCAAUACCAUGCUGUUUUGAUUAUUAUAGCUUUGUAGUAUAUUUUGAAGUUAGGUAGUGUAUUGUCUCCAGCUUUGUUCUUUUUGCUUAAGAUUGCUUUGGCUAUUUAGGGGUCUUUGUGGCCAUUACUGACAGUUAAAACACCCCAGCUUAUGUCUCCUGGGCCUCUACAGUACUUUAGGUGGGGAAGUACUGUGGCCCACAUGUCCCAACAGGCUGUGUGUGGCACCUGACAGUGCUUUGUGCCACUGUGGAGCAGGUGUUACUCCCUCAUACAAAUUUUAGGAUUAUUUUAUUUAUUUCAGUGAAAAAUGUCAAUGAAAUUUUGAUAGGGAUUGCAUUGAAUCUGUAGAUUGUUUGGGUUGUAUGGACAUUUUAACAAUAUUAAUUCUUCCAAUUCAUGAACAUGGGAUGUCUUUUUUUUGGCACCUGAUCUCAGAUAUGGGAUAGCUUUCUAAUUAUUUGUAUCUUCAAUUUCUUUCACAAAUGUUUUAUAGUUUUCAGCAUACAGAUCUUUCACUUCCUUGGUUGGAUUUAUUUGUAAGUAUUUUUUGUAGCUAUUCUAAAUGAGAUUGUUUUCUUGAUUUCUUUGUUAGGGUAUAGAAAUGCUACAGAUUGUUGUACAUUAAUUUUAUAUCCUGCAACUUUACUGAUUUCAUUUAUUCUAACAUCUUAUUGGUGGAAUCUUUAGGGUUUUCUAUAAGAUCAUGUCAUCCAUAAACAGAGACAAUUUAACUUCUUCCUUUCCAAUUUGGAUACCUUUUAUUUCUUCCACUUGCCUAAUUAUUUUGGCUGAGGGCCAACUUAUUGGGUUUGUUGUUGUUGUUUUUUGUCUGUGUCUUUUGGUGUUUCGUGUUGCUGGCUUUUCCAGCAUGCAGUCGCAGAUAUAUGAGGCAGAAAGAAAACCCAGGGAACUCCUGUCAUGUCAUUCCUCAGGUCCCAAGGUCCCUACCUGGUCUGCCUUCUUUUCUCCAUCUUUUAGUGUUUGAGAUACAUACAUUUAUGUGUGUAGUUAUAUAUGUAUGUGUAAUAUCCAGGGAAAUAUACAGGGUUUUUAACUGUCCUUAGUGUAGGACAUGGGGACAGGUGCAUCUAUUCUACCUUGUCUGGAAGUGGAAAAAUCUUCAAGAAGUCAAUUUAUCACCAACUGGCCUGACAGAACUCCUGGUUUAGUGUCUAGCUGUCCCCACUAAAAUCAAUCACCAUGCCAUCGCGCACUCUCUUCCCUCUGUGCUGUGUACUGGGACCUGAAACGGCGCCCAGCACCCUGAGAGCACAGGAAGUCUGAGGGGCAGGAAAGAAUGAACGCAGCUUCUUAUGUGCCCCACCCAAUAAUCCCAAGUCAAGCACGGACCUGGGAGCUGAAGAGACAAGCUGGAGGUCAGGCAGUUCUAUUACUUAAGCCUGGUUCUUCCUGACUCCAAAAGCCAGGCGCCACCCCAUGCUCCUUCCCAGCAGAAGCUGGUUUUCACCGGGUCAGGAGGACAGGAUGGCUAUUCCUGACCGUUGUACAGCAGUGCCACAUCUCCUAGUUUCCAGAACAUUUAAUGUGUUGCUGUGGAGGCCCAGCAGCUCUGAAGUAGCCCCUUGUGCCCAGGAGAAACCGGGCCUGGAGGGGCGGGGUGGGGUAGGCUGAGGUUUCCAGUAUCCCACGUGGGCAUCCCGUUGCUGAGGUCAACAGCCCCUCCCUGCAAGGGAGGGGAAGGAGCAGGGAGGCGCACCCUUCCUCCCUCUGCGUUUCACUGGAGAUGACCUGUGUCCUACUGUGGUUGCACGUGGACCAGCCCAGAGGGACUGGAGUGACUCUUCCCACAGGUGGGGCGAAGCCGGCCUGGGCACAGGGCCUCGCCACAAUCCCUGAGCCCCGCCUCCCUGGGGGAUUUCCAGGGGCUGUCCCACUGCUUGGUGAGCUGGGGGUGUGGGGGACCACAGAUGAGGCAGGCGCCUAAAUUGCUUGUGCGGAGUCUGGCUGCCCUCCCCCUCCAGGCCCCUUCCUGUGUCCUCGGGCCCCUCGGGUCCCUGCACCAGGCCAGCAGCAGUCGGGUGUCAGAGGUUCAAGUCCAGGCUGACCCCUCGGACGCACCGACUUUGCCCAGGAGGGCUGGGGAGAGGGCAGCCCCAAAGUGUCAUCUUUGAUUAUUCUUUGUCCCCAAAGCCAGCCUUGGGCAUGUGCCCAGCACAGGGAGAGCUGCUGCCUCCACGGGCUUGAGUCAUUUUUGCUUCCUUGCCCCUCUCUGCUCUGUUUGGUUUAAAACACAAAAACCAACACCCGCGGGCGAGGCGAGGCGAGGCAAGCCUUGACCCGCCCGCUUCCGCCCCUGCAGCCUCGGGCCCCAUCCUCCCGCGUGGCCGCACUAGGGGUGCUGGGGGCGGAGUGGGGACCAGACCUGAGUGGGUUCUGGGUUCAGCUUUGCAGCAGGAGCAGCUGGGGCAUUGUCAGUGGGGCAGGUGACCCAGGAUCUGAGCAGGAAUCUUCCAGGUGGAGGUGGGGCCACCCCUCUGCUUCCCACUGCUGCCUUCUGCUCUGGGGGCAGCCCUGGCUGAGAAUCCAGUGGAGUAAGGGCUUUGAAAUGGUUUUGAUUGUAAAAGUAAUGUUUAGCUAUUCCUUUUUUUUUUUUUCUUUUUUGAGACGGGUCUCACUGUGUCACCCAGGCUGGAGUGCAGUAGUGAAAUCUGGGCUCACUGCAACCUCCACCUCCCAGGUUCAAGUGAUUCUCCUGCCUCAGCCUCCUGAGUAGUUAGGAUUACAAGCGCCUGCCACCACACCUGAAAUUUUUGUAUUUUUUAGUACAGAUGGAGUUUCACCAUGUCAGCCAGGCUGGUCUCAAACUCAUAUCCUCAAGUGAUCCACCCUCCUCGUCCUCCCAAAGUGCUGGGAUUUUGGCAUGAGCCACCACGCGCAGCCAUGUGUGGCCAUUUUUAAAAGUUGUGAACAGAUAAUUAAGCCUAUUCGCAACAUUAGAAAAUUUAAGUUAAAAUUUAAAUGACUCUAGCAAGCAUUAGCCUUUAGGUGCCCUGGGUCCCCCUCCUCACUGCCCCCCACCCCGCCGCCUUCUGAGAAGUGUUUUGUAAUUUUUCGUAUUUAUAAAAUGGAUUUGAUUCAAAACUGACAUUUCCUCUUCACAGUCUCACAGGUCCGGAAGGAGCCAAGAGGCUCUUCUGUGGCCUGAUGAGGAGUAGCUGCCUAGCCGUGGUAGCACCUCCUAUCACAUGUUAAGGGACCCUUCCCCAGGGCCACAUCUGGCAGAAGAUGGCUUAUGAUGUUAGCAGCUUGAAAGUAGUGUAAACCAAAGAUAAAAUUCUAAGCCCACUCCCCCAGCCAUCGGAAUGGACCCCUCCUCUUGGCCAGGGCACUCCAAAGUUAACCUGAAAAACUGGUUCAGGCUGUGAAGAGAAGGUGGGGUGGACAUGCCUCAUUUAUGUCCUUCUCCCUUUUGGAAUUCAGCAAAGCUGACCAGCAUAAACAUUAACACAGACCUUAAGUCUGAUUAGAGGCAUUUACAAUCUAUUCUCUCUAAAGCGUGCUACUUGGAGGCUUCCUUUGCAUGAUAAAACUUUGGUCUCCACAACCCCUUAUCAUAACCUAGACAUUCCUUUCUAGUGAUAAUAACUCUUUCAACCAAUUGCCAAUAAAAAAAUUUUGAAUCUACCCAUAACCUGGAACCUCCCCGCUCCACCUUCGAGUUGUCCCACUUUUCUGGACAGAAGCAAUGUGGAUCUUGCAUGUAUUUGAUUGAUGUCUCAUGUCUCCCUAAAAUGUAUACAAUUAGGCUGUGCCAAGAUCACCCUGGGCACAUGUUCUCAGGCCCUCCUGAGGUUUCUGUCUCAGGCCAUUGGUCACUCAGAUUCGGCUCAGAAUAAAUCUCUUCAAAUAUU